CACGUAUUUACCGAUCUUUUUCCUUAUUCAUUUUUCUUAAAUAUCUUUUAUUCGGCCCGAUAAGUCCGCUGUGAAAGUCCAGGGCUCAACCCUGGAAUGCCGGUGGAAACUGUCGGGCUGGAGUCCGGAAGAGGCGAGUGGAAUUCCUGGUGUAGCGGUGAAAUGCGCAGAUAUCAGGAGGAACACCAAUGGCGAAGGCAGCUCGCUGGGACGGUACUGACGCUGAGACGCGAAAGCGUGGGGAGCAAACAGG
rnacentral:rRNA from 1 species